rnacentral:rRNA from 1 species
UACAGAGGGUGCAAGCGUUAAUCGGAAUUACUGGGCGUAAAGCGUGCGUAGUCGGUUAUCUAAGUCGGGUGUGAAAUCCCCGGGCUCAACCUGGGAAUUGCAUUCGAUACUGGAUAGCUAGAGUUCGGCAGAGGGAAGCGGAAUUUCCGGUGUAGCGGUGAAAUGCGUAGAGAUCGGAAAGAACACCAACGGCGAAAGCACUCUGCUGGGCCGACACUGACACUGAGAGACGAAAGCUAGGGGAGCGAAUGGG